rnacentral:rRNA from 1 species
AUUGAACGCUGGCGGCAGGCCUAACACAUGCAAGUCGAGCGGAUGAAGGGAGCUUGCUCCUGGAUUCAGCGGCGGACGGGUGAGUAAUGCCUAGGAAUCUGCCUGGUAGUGGGGGAUAACGUCCGGAAACGGGCGCUAAUACCGCAUACGUCCUGAGGGAGAAAUUGGGGGAUCUUCGGACCUCACGCUAUCAGAUGAGCCUAGGUCGGAUUAGCUAGUUGGUGGGGUAAAGGCCUACCAAGGCGACGAUCCGUAACUGGUCUGAGAGGAUGAUCAGUCACACUGGAACUGAGACACGGUCCAGACUCCUACGGGAGGCAGCAGUGGGGAAUAUUGGACAAUGGGCGAAAGCCUGAUCCAGCCAUGCCGCGUGUGUGAAGAAGGUCUUCGGAUUGUAAAGCACUUUAAGUUGGGAGGAAGGGCAGUAAGUUAAUACCUUGCUGUUUUGACGUUACCAACAGAAUAAGCACGGGCUAACUUCGUG